GCAAAAUUAGGAGAAAUUCAGAGAAUUCACGGGGUUUAACUCAACAAUUGAUUUAUCAUCGAAUGAGAAGUGUUAUAAAAUUGAAGACUCUUAACUAUAGCUCUUAUAUUCCAUCCAUCAAAAUUGAUAUUUGAUCCGUGUUGGGCAAUAGAAUAAUCUUUCAAGUUUCAAGUAUCACUCUUUUCAAUGUGGUUGUGUGCUUUUCUUGUGCAGCUUUAUAUUUAAAAUACCAGAACAUGGAUUUCUUAUCAAGUGCUUUUACAUUUAGAGGUGCUAUCUUAGUUGAGUGCAUUGUAGUUCUGGCUGAAUUCUGUAACUCAAUGCCUGUGAUAGGGAAUGGGAUGGAUUGAUUUGUGGGGUGUUAUGAAUACAACUGCUUGUGUGUCGAUUUUAAAAGUAAUACCAUGAAUUUUUGAAACUUGUCUUUUAAAUCUUAUUCUGUUUAAUUUUCUUGCAUUAGCCAAUAUAUGGCUUUGCAUCAG
rnacentral:misc_RNA from 1 species